rnacentral:snRNA from 1 species
GUGCUCGCUUUGGCAGCACAUAUACUAAAAUUGGAACGAUACAGAGAAAAUUAGCAUGGCCCCUGAGUAAGGAUGACACGCAAAUUCGUGAAGAGUUCCAUUAAAAA